GAUGAACGCUGGCGGCGUGCCUAAUACAUGCAAGUCGAGCGAACGGACGAGAAGCUUGCUUCUCUGAUGUUAGCGGCGGACGGGUGAGUAACACGUGGAUAACCUACCUAUAAGACUGGGAUAACUUCGGGAAACCGGAGCUAAUACCGGAUGAUAUUUUGAACCGCAUGGUUCAAAAGUGAAAGACGGUCUUGCUGUCACUUAUAGAUGGAUCCGCGCUGCAUUAGCUAGUUGGUAAGGUAACGGCUUACCAAGGCAACGAUGCAUAGCCGACCUGAGAGGGUGAUCGGCCACACUGGAACUGAGACACGGUCCAGACUCCUACGGGAGGCAGCAGUAUGGAAUCUUCCGCAAUGGGCGAAAGCCUGACGGAGCAACGCCGCGUGAGUGAUGAAGGUCUUCGGAUCGUAAAACUCUGUUAUUAGUGAAGAACAUAUGUGUAAGUAACUGUGCACAUCUUGACGGUACCUAAUCAGAAAGCCACGGCUAACUACGUG
rnacentral:rRNA from 1 species